rnacentral:rRNA from 1 species
UGAAUACGAGACGCUAAGGCGUCGAAGUAGUGUAUGUCAUACUUCCAAGAAAAGCCUGCACUGUCAUAGAUAAAAAACGCCUGUACCAUAACCGACACAGGUGGGUAGGUAGAGUAUACUAAGGGGCGCGAGAUAACUCUCUCUAAGGAACUCGGCAAAAUAACUCCGUAACUUCGGGAGAAGGAGUGCCUUAUUCUUAAGGUUGCAAUAACAAGAUCCAAGCAACUGUUUAUCAAAAACACAGGUCUCCGCUAAGUCGUAAGACGAUGUAUGGGGGCUGACGCCUGCCCAGUGCCAGAAGGUUAAAGAAGCUGGUUAGCAUUUGCGAAGCUAGUAACUGAAGCCCUGGUGAACGGCGGCCGUAACUAUAACGGUCCUAAGGUAGCGAAAUUCCUUGUCGGGUGAGUUCCGACCCGCACGAAAGGCGUAAUGAUUUGGAUACUGUCUCGGAGAGGGGCUCGGUGAAAUAGACUUGUCUGUGAAGAUGCGGACUACCUGCACCAGGACAGAAAGACCCUAUGAAGCUUUACUGUAACUUGAAAUUGAAAUUGGACUUUAUUCGCGCAGUAUAGGUGGGAGGCGUUGAUUAUAAUCUUGCGGGAUUAUUGGAGCCAUUAGUGAGAUACCACUCUUGUAAUGUUAGAUUUCUAACUUUGAAUCAUUAUCUGGUCAAAGAACAGUUUCAGGCGGGCAGUUUGACUGGGGCGGUCGCCUCCUAAACGGUAACGGAGGCGUACAAAGGUUUCCUCUGAACGGUUAGAAAUCGUAUCUAGAGUGUAAAGGCAUAAGGAAGCUUGACUGUGAGACCUACAAGUCGAGCAGGGACGAAAGUCGGUCUUAGUGAUCUGACGGUACUGAGUGGAAAGGCCGUCACUCAACGGAUAAAAGUUACUCUAGGAUAACAGGCUGAUCUCCCCCAAGAGUUCACAUCGACGGGGAGGUUUGGCACCUCGAUGUCGGCUCAUCGCAUCCUGGGGCGGUAGUACGUCCCAAGGGUUGGGCUGUUCGCCCAUGAAAGCGGUACGCGAGCUGGGUUCAGAACGUCGUGAGACAGUUCGGUCCAUAUCCGGUGUAGGCGUUAGAAUAUUGAGAGGAGCCUUCUUUAGUACGAGAGGACCGAGAAGGACAUACCUCUGGUGUACCAGUUAUCGUGCCAACGGUAAACGCUGGGUAGCUAUGUAUGGAGUGGAUAACCGCUGAGAGCAUCUAAGUGGGAAGCCCACCUCAAGAUAAGUAUUC